CCUACGGGAGGCAGCAGUGAGGAAUAUUGGUCAAUGGACGAGAGUCUGAACCAGCCAAGUAGCGUGAAGGAUGACUGCCCUAUGGGUUGUAAACUUCUUUUAUAAAGGAAUAAAACGAGGCACGUGUGCCUUUUUGCAUGUACUUUAUGAAUAAGGAUCGGCUAACUCCGUGCCAGCAGCCGCGGUAAUACGGAGGAUCCGAGCGUUAUCCGGAUUUAUUGGGUUGAAAGGGAGCGUAGAUGGGUUGUUAAGUAAGUUGUGAAAGUUUGCGGCUCAACCGUAAAAUUGCAAUUGAUACUGGCAGUCUUGAGUACAGUUGAGGUAGGCGGAAUUCGUGGUGUAGCGGUGAAAUGCUUAGAUAUCACGAAGAACCCCGAUUGCGAAGGCAGCUUACCAAACUGUGACUGACAUUGAUGCUCGAAAGUGUGGGUAUCAAACAGGAUUAGAUACCCCUGUAGUC
rnacentral:rRNA from 1 species